UUCUCUGUCUGUGGACGGUGUUCAGCACCAAGGACAGGUGUGUUUGUGUGUGAAUGUGGUUCAGCAUCAAAGACAGAUGUUUUUGUGU
rnacentral:pre_miRNA from 1 species